CCCUUCAUCAUGCCGGGAGGUAAGAGGCAAGUGGGUAAAAGGGUAUAAAUCAUGAAGGUAUAAUUCAAAAAGAGAUACUUUAUCCAAAAAUGAAGAAGAGCAGUUGAAGAGAGUUUUUACAACUUUUUUUAUUGUUGAACUAUUACAGAUGUCCCCACAAGUAAAUUAUUCAGGUUGGAGUUUUAGGAGGUAUGGGCAGAAUUUGAAGAAUGGACUUUAAGCAGAAAGAACAGUUAAAAUGUUAUUGCAUGAAUAUGGGUGGGGACUGGUUAAAAUAUAGGUUUAAAGGGGAGGGGUUAAAGAUUCAGAGUUUUUGACUUAUGACAUGAGUGAAGAGUGCACACAUUCCCUCCCUCCCUCCCUCCCCCCUCCCUCUUUCUUUUCAGGGAGAUACAGUAAUAAAUGCAGCUCUGAACAUACUGAGUUUAAGCUUUGUUGGAAUAUCCAAGUGGAAAUGCUCAGCAGGCAGCUGAACAUCCACAUUAGCAAACUUAAGAAGGAAGACCUGGAUUAGGAACAUGGAUUGGGAAGCCUAGCGAAUAGAUAAUUAAAUAUAGGGAAGUAGAUGAAAUCACCAACAAAUAUAUAGAAUGAGAAAAAAGUCAACUGGCUUUUAAGAGAUAAGUAAAGGAAAAAGUAAGGGCUUCUAACUUUCCCUUAUCAGUAAAAAGAAAGGCAAUUCUAAAGGCACUAAUCACAACUUCUAAAUACCAGCCAUGUUCAAUGCAGAUUUCAAAACAGACUCAGAAAGUUUUCAACCGACACCUCUUCUGCUCCAAUUAGUUUUUCUAAGCUUUUCCUUGCUGUUUAUAUCAGAUUAUCCUUUAAUUCCAGUUGCAGCCAUUAUUUGUACCCUUUGUCUCUAUUUGUAAGCUACUGUUUUAGAACCAACUUCUUUCUGAUGACUUCACCACAAAAAGAUCAAUAUCUAUUUUAUCACUUCAUUUCCAUUAUUUUUUCCACGCUGUUUCAUCACUGGUAUGUAUUUGCAGUGGUUAGUGUCCUUUUUCAAUGCCCACGUGUAACAUUUUAGUGCACUGUAUUAACAGGCAUCUGUGGGCCAGUGUAUGUAACUGCUGUUUAUUGUUUCUUUGAGAAAGUGCAUUCUGAGUUUGUAACUGACUGUGAAGGAAUUUGGGGACAUAACUUGCUUUUUAAACUAGGAGUUUGGCUAUAUCUAAAACUUCUUCCUCUGGAUCCUAGUUUGGCCCAGUUUUUCCUCGUUUCCUAAAGUUGGACCACAUGCUCUUCUGUUAUAGGACUUUUAAAUUAUUCUAUAUUCUUGUCCCAAUAUGAUUUACUCAUAGACAAAUGAACUGGAAAACAGUCUAUGUCCCCCAAAUAAAAAUGCAUUAUUUCUAAUAAAGACAAUUUCACUUUCAUGUCAUAGAAAAACUAUUAAUAAAUUAACUCCACAAUUUAUCUAUGCACUUAACAUGUUCAAAAUGAUGCCUCAUACUAGAGCAGAGAAGAACAUUUCUACACUGGAAAAUUCACUCUUUGGGCAUUUUUAUUUUAAAACCAAACUAACAUAAUUUAAACUUCUGUCUUAGAUAAGUGGCUAAGGCUACUGACAUCUUAAUAAUGGGAGACAUUUUUAAUGAUGUGAAAACUGCCUUAAAGAAAGGACCUAAUUAAUCCUUUUCAUGACGUUUGCAUUACAUUUGUCCUUUGAUUUGAGUUGCAACUAUUAUUUGUAAUGUUCUGCCCCGGUCUCAAGCCCAUGUUUUAGAAUGAUGUUACCUUCAUCGGCUUUGCUGUAAAGGAAUCACUUCAUUUCCGAUUACUGCAUUUGCAGCAACAGUUGUUUCCUGGCUGCCCCGAGUGGUGCUGUACCACACCACUCGCUGAUGCUGCGCUCCGGUGUGCCUUUGAAGCAUUUCUUCUGCUGGCCUGGUUUGUGGCCUCCCUAUUUUAGAUCACCAGGUAGCAGCUGCUUGGCCAGCCUUCUGUCAUCUAUUUUCAAUGGUGCUAUACAGCAUCCCACAGGGCUUCGAGGAUGAUAAACUGGCUGGACUCAGGGUUUGCACUGUAAUACUGUCUUGUCAUUUAAUGUUAAGUGUACCGCACAGGUGACACUGAUGAAACUGCUUAGGAAAUCAGGUACGAUCUUUGGCAGAGCCAAAUCUCACUUUUAUAUGCAGGGUACGGUUCUGUUUCAACCAACUUAGGACAAGUACGAACACUUUCAAAAAGCUGCACCAUUUUUUAAUGUCUAAUAUAGUAUCUUUUCCAUUCAUCAGUCCAUUCUCUCAUACUUUUUGAUUCCUGAGAUACAUUUACUAGUGUGCAUUUGGGGUGGUAUCUGUAACUUCAAAUCAAAAUGAAUUUAACUGGUAUAUGCUACAAUUUAACCCACACCCUGCUCUAUCAGCAUAUAUUGUUAUUAUAUAUCAAAAUGUAUAGAUCUGACCUUUCAAAGUUAAAAAAAAAAAUCUUCCAAACAUUGUAGUCUGUCUGUCUGUCAGUGACGCUGGUUUCUGCAUGGUAUCCUAACCUGUACUGACAGGCACGGGAACUUAAAAUUCUCUGCCUUAAGACUUGCUUAUGAAACUGGAACAGAGAUCUAAAACUGCUAAAAAGAAAGCAAUAUGGUCUAUCAAUAUGUUACUUCAAUUUACAAACUAUAACACAAGUAAGAUGCCACAAAUCAUAGUUUUAAUGGUCUUAGAAUUGUGGCUUGAUUUUGGUUACUAUUUAGGCAAUACUUAUCCAUUACAUUUUGAAUAGCAUUAUAAAUAAUUGAACAAAAAAUGGCCUUGCCUUUUAUUUUAUUUAGUGAAAUCUGUAAAACUUUUUGUAAGUGCUCCCAACCUGAAGCAAACUUGUCCAGUCUGAAUUUUGUUACAUCUUACCCGUACUUCACUGGGGCAGAAUGAACGAUUACGCAGCACACGCUGUCAGCAAAGAGGAUAAAAAGACGACCAGGGCAGUGACAGCUGCCUGCCCUGCAUGUUUGAGAGUUGAUCUAUCCUUAACCGAUGGCCUCGUUUAGGUCAACAUCAACGUUAUUGCCAAAUUGACCUAUUUGGUUACCACGUCUUUCUCAUUAGUAAAUUUCCAAUAGAUAAGAGCCAUUCAUUAAGAGAUGCUGCCACAAUCAUUUAUUUUACUUUCAGAAUCUGGGCUAAGAAUCAUAACCCAAAAUUGUUACUCAAUUGGUUACUUCAGGAAAAACAAAGCAAAAUAAACUUCUAUCUUCCCAGACAUGAAGUGGUCUAUUAUUCUUUAAUAAACAGAUGACUCAAUCUUCCCAAAUCAUUUAGGUUUCAUGAGGAAUGCAUUUUCA